rnacentral:lncRNA from 1 species
AUCUUCUCUAGUGUCUUUGUAAGUUCCAAGCUCCGUACAUCCACCAUCUUUGCAUACAGCCUAUUCAUUUCAAUCAAACUUCUGUUAGCAAGUUACAAACUUUGAUUAGUUAAAUACAGUGAACCAUUAUUGGUAACUACUCCCGUUGUACCUAAGCUCCAUGAAGUGCAAGUUGUUGGGACAGUUUUGUUAACUUUCAGACGGGUUUUAUCAAGUGUAAUCCUGUGGGAUAGUUUAGUUUUCCUUCAGAUGGGCUCCAUGAAGUACUUCAGCAAAGCGUUGCAACAAAAUCUGGAAAUUUGGUGCUGGAGCAAAACUUUGAAUGCCAUGAUAGAUGAUACGAGUCCAAACAAUCUGGCAGAUUAUCCCAUGUAAAUCAAUUGUUUUACAUGGCACAUCGUGAGAGAGUUCACUAAGCUCUAAAUGAGACUGGGUGUAUCUGAUUAAUUCAUUACACCAGUUAAAUAUUGCUUAAGAUA